rnacentral:ribozyme from 13 species
AAUAGUUGAAGGGAGCUUUUUUGGUUUUCCCUUCUUUUUUUCCUUCUUUUCUUCCUUCUUUU